AUUGAACGCUGGCGGCAGGCCUAACACAUGCAAGUCGAACGAGUGGCGGACGGGAGAGUAAUGUCUGGGAAACUGCCUGAUGGAGGGGGAUAACUACUGGAAACGGUAGCUAAUACCGCAUACCAUCAGAUGUACCCAGAUGGGAUUAGGUUGUUGGUGGGGUAAGGGCUCACCAAGGCGACGCACCCUAGCCGGUCUGAGAGGAGGACCGUCCACACGGGAACGGAGACACGGUCCAGACUCCAACGGGGGGCAGCGUUGGGGAAUAUUGCACAAUGGGCGCAGGCCGGAGGAGGCCAUGCGGGGUGUAUGAAGAAGGCCUUCGGGUUGUAAGGUACUUUCAGCGGGGAGGCGUUACCCGCAGAGGAAGCCCCGGCUAACUCCGUGCCAGCCGCCGCGGUAAUAC
rnacentral:rRNA from 1 species